rnacentral:lncRNA from 1 species
ACAGUUGUUUGGACAGGUAUACGAGUAAGGCGGCAUCAGGCCUGCAUUCAUGUUUAUCCGCUUAGUGACGUUCUCAGGGGAGGGGGGCAUACAAAAGAAAAAGGAAAAGAGAAAGAAGAAAAACAAUUUGCCUAAGUCGAGCAUACUGUAAGAUUAUCAAGCCCUGCAGUCAUAAGCCUUUAUCCGCCUGCUGAUUUUUGUGUGAUUUCUACUCUCAUACAUCUAUAUUGCGGACUUCAUCGGGAACCUCAGAAGUUGAUCUAGCAGUGUGUUAGAAAGCAUACUUGAAGAUUGAGAGUUUGCAGAUAAAUUUCUUCACAGCCUGCGUUGAAACUCUUGGUAGAAAGUCGUCCUAGUACACAGCAAUCAAGUCAGCAAAUAUGCUACACAAUCCAUGAAAGCAACGUUUUCGGGUAGCAAUGGAACAAUAUUGGUUAAUUAGGUAUGUCUCUCUAUGUAAAAACUUAAGCACUAAAAAUGAAAAUUCUACGAGUUCAAUGAGACUCUCAUAGUAUACAGGUCAGACAAAGAAGUAUUUGCAAUUCACGUGCUUAGGAUUAGGAAAAUCCAAUUUUUCGUAACAAACUGAGUGUCACCCAUCAAUCAAAAGAUAGAGCCACUGAGAACUCGUACCUGGUAUAUUACACUAGUGAUUGGAAGAGAAUACUUGAGCGCAAGAUCUAGUGACAUCACUCGUGGAGGGGCAAUAGCUAUGCAGCUAAUCAAGUCCGAACUGAUGCCUCCAAGCUUCUUUGUGUCGCAGAUGAGGAAAAGUGUCAACAAAGAGGCCACCCCGGCUCCAAGUGAAUGCCCUACUAUUGUCAACCGGUAUCUACGCAUCAUGGCGGAACAACACAUGUUAACUACUGAUGUUACAGAAUCCUCAUAUUUCUGGAGCAUCCGGUUAAAAAGUUAGAACUUUCGGAUCACUUCUCAUGAUCCAUCAGACAUGACAAUCGCUAUCUGCUGCAUUACAUCUUGAAAUGUGGUAUUCACAAGAAAGGUACAUUAGCUUAUGGAGCAAAGUUGCCACACCAAUACUAAAGCAAAUUCUGAAUCCACAACCAAGUGCUGAGACAAUUCAUUUGCAAGUCCUACCCU